rnacentral:rRNA from 1 species
UUAUUUUUUAAUAAUUAAUUUUUAUAUAAUUUUUAUAUAAUUAAUAUUUUAGUUAUUUAUAGGAAUAAAUAUUAUAAUAUAAUAAUAUUUUAAUAAUGAUAAAAUAAGUAUUUUAUAUAUAUAAAAUAUAGUAACUCGGCAAAUAUUAUUUUCGCCUGUUUAACAAAAACAUGGUCUUUUGUUUAUAUAAAAGAUCUAACCUGCCCUAUGAUUUAUUUAAAUGGCUGCAGUAUUUUGACUGUACAAAGGUAGCAUAAUCAUUUGUCUUUUAAUUGAAGGCUUGUAUGAAUGGUUGGAUGAAAAAUAUACUUUCUUUAUUUUAUAUAAAAAAUUUAAUUUUCUAGUCAAAAAGCUAGGAUUUUUUUAUAGGACGAGAAGACCCUAUAGAACUUUAUUUUCUUUUUUUAUAAACUUUAUAGAUAAAUAUAAGUUUAUAUAUUUUUGUUAAUUUUGUUGGGGUGAUUGAAAAAAUUUUUUAACUUUUUCUAUUUUUUGCAUUUAUAUAUGUUUUUUUGAUCCUUUAUUAUGGAAUAAAAGAUUAAGUUACCUUAGGGAUAACAGCGUUAUUUUUUUGGAGAGUUCUUAUCGAUAAAAAAGUUUGCGACCUCGAUGUUGG